rnacentral:rRNA from 1 species
UACAGAGGUCUCAAGCGUUGUUCGGAUUCAUUGGGCGUAAAGGGUGCGUAGGUGGUCAGGUAAGUCGGAUGUGAAAUCCCGGGGCUCAACCCUGGAACUGCAUUCGAUACUGCCCGGCUAGAGUACUGGAGAGGAGAUUGGAAUUUACGGUGUAGCAGUGAAAUGCGUAGAUAUCGUAAGGAAGACCAGUGGCGAAGGCGGAUCUCUGGACAGUUACUGACACUGAGGCACGAAGGCCAGGGGAGCAAACGGG